rnacentral:rRNA from 1 species
GCGGACCGGUGAGUUUUCUCUGGGUAACCUGCCCAUAUUUACUGGGAUAACUCCGGGAAACCGGGGCUAAUACCGGAUAACAUUUUGAACCGCAUGGUUCGAAAUUGAAAGGCGGCUUCGGCUGUCACUUAUGGAUGGACCCGCGUCGCAUUAGCUAGUUGGUGAGGUAACGGCUCACCAAGGCAACGAUGCGUAGCCAACCUGAGAGGGUGAUCGGCCACACUGGGACUGAGACACGGCCCAGACUCCUACGGGAGGCAGCAGUAGGGAAUCUUCCGCAAUGGACGAAAGUCUGACGGAGCAACGCCGCGUGAGUGAUGAAGGCUUUCGGGUCGUAAAACUCUGUUGUUAGGGAAGAACAAGUGCUAGUUGAAUAAGCUGGCACCUUGACGGUACCUAACCAGAAAGCCACGGCUAACUACGUGCCAGCAGCCGCGGUAAUACGUAGGUGGCAAGCGUUAUCCGGAAUUAUUGGGCGUAAAGCGCGCGCAGGUGGUUUCUUAAGUCUGAUGUGAAAGCCCACGGCUCACCCGUGGAGGGUCAUUGGAAACUGGGGAGACUUGAGUGCAGAAGAGGAAAGUGGAACUCCAUGUGUAGCGGUGAAAUGCGUAGAGAUAUGGAGGAGCACCAGUGGCCGAAGGCGACGUUCUGGUCUGUAACUGACACUGAGGCGCGAAAGCGUGGGGAGCAAACAGGAUUAAAUACCCUGGUUGUUCACCCCGUAAACA